GACGAACGCUGGCGGCGUGCUUAACACAUGCAAGUCGAACGGAAAGGCCCUGCUUUUGUGGGGUGCUCGAGUGGCGAACGGGUGAGUAACACGUGAGUAACCUGCCCUUGACUUUGGGAUAACUUCAGGAAACUGGGGCUAAUACCGGAUAGGAGCUCCUGCUGCAUGGUGGGGGUUGGAAAGUUUCGGCGGUUGGGGAUGGACUCGCGGCUUAUCAGCUUGUUGGUGGGGUAGUGGCUUACCAAGGCUUUGACGGGUAGCCGGCCUGAGAGGGUGACCGGCCACAUUGGGACUGAGAUACGGCCCAGACGCCUACGGGAGGCAGCAGUGGGAAUAUUGCACAAUGGGCGGAAGCCUGAUGCAGCAACGCCGCGUGCGGGAUGACGGCCUUCGGGUUGUAAACCGCUUUCGCCUGUGACGAAGCGUGAGUGACGGUAAUGGGUAAAGAAGCACCGGCUAACUACGUG
rnacentral:rRNA from 1 species